GCCGACUCUGGUACGCCUUUAUGUUUAUGGCACUGUCCAGCUUUCUGCGAAUAGCGACUUAUACUGUGGAGCAAUGGAAUUGGAGCAAUGGAAACCUCUAAAACACUUAAUUCGUUUAACAUCCGCUCCUCAAACCCUGCUUGGGCAUUACUCUUCUCCAAAUUUUGAUGGAGUAGAGUUAGCAGAACUCUGAACUUAAUGUUGCCAGAGUGUCUGAGAGUUGUUAUCCCAGUUGGAGGAG
rnacentral:lncRNA from 1 species